CUUAUUCAUGUGUUACAACACAGAAAGAUCCCAAAAAGAGAAUAGACUUUAAAAAAUACUGACACUAGUUUCUGAUCCCAGGUCCAGACUGCUCAGAUCUCUGAUGUUCUGAUCAUCCCAGGUUGGAUCUCCUGAGCCUGGAAUCCUCCACCUUCAACACCACCAGUCAGGUGGAGGAAGAUAAGAGAACCCAGUUGGUCAAAAAAAUUGACCAACAAUUAAAGCAGAAGACCUGCUCCACCUGCUGUUCUACUGGUUGGAAGAGAUUGUGGAAAAGGUGAGGACAUGAUGAUGACUUGAUCAGAAAGUCUCCUUCAGUCAUCUGUUAUUUAGACUGAAUGUGUGUCUGAUUAUGUGUUGAUUCUCCAGCAUCAGCGAGACAAGACAAGACUGGACCAAUGAGGAGAGAGAAGACACAGAGGACUGAGGAGACGCAGAAAUCCUGCUGGAAAUCCAGAGAAGAUGUUUCCUGAUGCAUCAGGGGGACAGCUGAGGACGGGACACAGCAUAAAGAGACAGAGAUCAUGUGAAGUAGGUUGGAUCUCCUGAGCCUGGAAUCCUCCACCUUCAACACCACCAGUCAGGUGGAGGAAGAUAAGAGAACCCAGUUGGUCAAAAAAAUUGACCAACAAUUAAAGCAGAAGACCUGCUCCACCUGCUGUUCUACUGGUUGGAAGAGAUUGUGGAAAAGCAUCAGCGAGACAAGACAAGACUGGACCAAUGAGGAGAGAGAAGACACAGAGGACUGAGGAGACGCUGGAAAUCCUGCUGGAAAUCCAGAGAAGAUGUUUCCUGAUGCAUCAGGGGGACAACUGAGGACGGGACACAGCAUAAAGAGACAGAGAUCAUGUGAAGUAGGUUGGAUCUCCUGAGCCUGGAAUCCUCCACCUUCAACACCACCAGUCAGGUGGAGGAAGAUAAGAGAACCCAGUUGGUCAAAAAAAUUGACCAACAAUUAAAGCAGAAGACCUGCUCCACCUGCUG